AGGAGAUGUCACGUAGGAGAGGGAUUAAGCCUGCUCCCUCCGUCUCCCAAGGAUCAAAACUAGGACAGGCUGGGGAGAAGUGGUCGCUAGGAGAAGAGAAUUUAGAUCUUCCUCCUCUCAGCUUCAUCUGAUAGUAGUGGCAGGAAGCAGGGCUCCUGGCAGCUGGACUGGGCACUGUGGCAAGAAUCAUCGGGCAGAGAGCACCUGGCGGUUGUGUGUUCUGAGGUUGGAAUGGAGUCAGACAAAAGCAGAGCUGCACAAUUGUCUGGUUCUAACUACGCUUUGGCGAUGCCUUUGUUCUUCAUGAAGACGGGUGUACAUAGAGUUUGGGGGGAAACUGUCCUAAAACCAUU